AGGAGCAUGGAAAUUUCAAAGCAGCCAGUGGCGCAUUGCCUUCUCCGAGGGCGUGCCGUUGACUUCUCGAAGAUGCAGCAUCGGCAACCUGGGUAACGUCACCCCCGUUAUCUCUAGCAACGAAUUUGAGAGCACCGUGUAGCAAGACCGGAGAAAUGACAUGAACAAUUAUAAACCUAUGAACGGGCGCACUUGAAUUGCUUUAUUUACAGUGCGGACAACACACUUUACCUGAACAUCGUUGAAGUGAUGUUCCUCCAACGUGCUUAUGAAGCAAGAGCCAUUACAGCUUCCUUCAAGCAUAGGCACUACUCCAUGGAGGGCCAGGCAUAGCGCACAUCCUGCCGGCCAUUUAGAUGGUAGGUACA